AUGGCGGACGACGUGAUAGUGUUUUUAUUAAUUCUCUAGGGAUAAACCAAAACGGUUGUUUGUUAUUUAAAAAAAACGUUUAGAUUCAGUUUCUAGUUCAUUGCUCCAUAAUGUCAGAGAAGAAUUCGAAAGGGAAGAAGCGAAAAUGGGAACCACUAGAAUUGGACGAUCCUUCGUUCUUUGCGGGCGAAAUGGAUGGAUUUAUGUCCCUUGAAGUCAUGGAAGAUUAUCAUCCAGAAGAGCUAGCAGGAAUUGGUGCAGGUGGACCAGCUCAUAAGAAGAAAAUAAAAGAAUGGCCGCUGUAGGAGUGUCGCUGAUGGACAAAGUUGGGCUGCAGAAGAACAGUUGUAAAAUUAUCGAUGUCACCAACAAGAGAGGAACCAUAGAAACCCUGACAGAAGCAAAGAUCUCAUGUGCAAUUGAAGAGGACCUUUAUCUCCACUAUUUCCUUUCCCGGUACCCAGGCCGUACUUUGGUUUUCUCCAACACCAUGGACUGUGUGAGGAGACUGGGCUCUUUGUUUAGGCUCUUGGACUUUAACCCGUGGGUUCUGCCCGCCUGCAUGCAACAAAGGCAAAGAUUAAAGAAUUUAGACAGGCCGGGUGAAAACUGAGUGAGAUGGAAAAAAACAAAAAUACAAAAAACAAUGAAACAAACGAAACAAACAAAAACCAGAACAAAAAACAAACAAACAAAAAACUCAACAAAACAAAGCAACAAUUAGGAACCUAAUUUUGUAGACAACGUGCUUUUUUCCUGUUGCGUCUUUCACGUUCUUUACUCCGCAACUUGCUUUGCGCAAAACACUAGGCGACACGCUUGCUAUGUGGCCUUGGAUCAGAAUCAUCCUGAUCUUAUUACUAUUUUUUUUUCAUCAAAACAGAGAGUAUAGUUUACGAAUUGACCGAGCAAUGGAAUUUCCUUUAUUUAUAGACUAUAACUGGAUCGCCUUGACUGAUUGAACCCGCCCCUCUCCUCCCUCAGAGAAUAUUUAAAGCUAGAUAGGACUUACACCAGCAAAUGAAAUGUUGGCUGAUUUUUUUCUUGCCUGUUAGAUUUAAGCAAAGUGCGAGUGGCUUACUUCUGGCUACAAAUGUGGCCACGAGAGGUUUGGACAUACCAGCUGUCACUAUCAAGUUCCGAAGGACCUUGAUGUAAGUACGUCUUUACAUUCACUGCAGUGGACGGACAGCUAGAGUGAGCAGGGAAGGUCUGAGUGUCAUUCUUGUUGGCCCAGAAGAAAUGGGAUCAUACAAGAAAAUUAUGAAGACGCUUAAUGGAGGUGAUGUGUCUUUAUUAUUUCCAACGUAUCUCUUUAACAGUCAAACUCUAAAAGGUUAUUUGCAAAUCCCCCUCAGUUUAAGGUGCCAUUCGUCUAAAUUUCCUUUUUAAUUAGAUAAAUCUUUACGCCUUAACGUUAGUAUGCAUAUUCUCCAUGCAUACUGUUCUCUAUAUAUUUCUUAAGGUGUUGACAUGGAGAUUUCGUCAAACAAUCAAGAGCUUCUUUAGUUGGUGAUCAGCUCCCCUAUUCUCGUGACUUGAAAGAGAA